rnacentral:rRNA from 1 species
AACGAACGCUGGCGGCAUGCCUAACACAUGCAAGUCGAACGAAACCUUCGGGUCUAGUGGCGCACGGGUGCGUAACGCGUGGGAACCUGCCCUUAGGUUCGGAAUAACUCCCCGAAAGGGGUGCUAAUACCGGAUAAUGUCUUCGGACCAAAGAUUUAUCGCCUUUGGAUGGGCCCGCGUUGGAUUAGCUAGUUGGUAGGGUAAAAGCCUACUAAGGCGACGAUCCAUAGCUGGUCUGAGAGGAUGAUCAGCCACACUGGGACUGAGACACGGCCCAGACUCCUACGGGAGGCAGCAGUGGGGAAUAUUGGACAAUGGGCGAAAGCCUGAUCCAGCAAUGCCGCGUGAGUGAUGAAGGCCUUAGGGUUGUAAAGCUCUUUUACCCGGGAUGAUAAUGACAGUACCGGGAGAAUAAGCUCCGGCUAACUCCGUG